rnacentral:misc_RNA from 1 species
GAUGAAGAACGCAGCGAAAUGCGAUAAGUAGUGUGAAUUGCAGAAUUCAGUGAAUCAUCGAAUCUUUGAACGCACAUUGCGCCCCUUGGUAUUCCAUGGGGCAUGCCUGUUCGAGCGUCAUUUGUACCUUCAAGCCUUGCUUGGUGUUGGGUGUUUGUCUCGCCUUUGCGUGUAGACUCGCCUUAAAAUAAUUGGCAGCCGGCGUAUUGAUUUCGGAGCGCAGUACAUCUCGCGCUUUGCACUCAUAACGACAGCGUCCAAAAGUACAUUUUACACUCUUGACCUCGGAUCAGGUAGGGAUACCCGCUGAACUUAAGCAUAUCAAUAAGCGGAGGA